rnacentral:rRNA from 1 species
AUUGAACGCUGGCGGCAGGCCUAACACAUGCAAGUCGAGCGAGCGGCGGACGGGUGAGUAAUGUCUGGGAAACUGCCUGAUGGAGGGGGAUAAAUACUGGAAACGGUAGCUAAUACCGCAUACCAUCGGAUGUGCCCAGAUGGGAUUAGCUAGUAGGUGGGGUAAUGGCUCACCUAGGCGACGAUCCCUAGCUGGUCUGAGAGGAUGACCAGCCAACCUGGAACUGAGACACGGUCCAGACUCCUACGGGAGGCAGCAGUGGGGAAUAUUGCACAAUGGGCGCAAGCCUGAUGCAGCCAUGCCGCGUGUAUGAAGAAGGCCUUCGGGUUGUAAAGUACUUUCAGCGAGGAGGCGUUACUCGCAGAAGAAGCACCGGCUAACUCCGUGCCAGCAGCCGCGGUAAUUC